rnacentral:rRNA from 1 species
CUGGGCUUCUCCUUAUUGUUGGUUUGAAGGACACGGAGAUGGUUAAUAGGGACAGCGUUUAUUUCACAAGGAGGCAUUAGUAUUUAAUUUCCAGAGGUGAAAUUUCUUUGAAAUAUUAAAGACUAACUUAUGCGAAAGCAUCGUUUGCCAAUGAUGUUUUCAUUAAUCAUUGAACGAAAGUUAGGGGAUCAAAGACGAUCAGAUACCGUCCUAGUCUUAACCAUAAACGUUGCCGACUAGGGAUCGGAGGGCGUGCACAAUCCGCCUUCGGCACCUUACGAGAAAUCAAAGUCUUUUGGGUUCUGUGGGUAGUAUGGUCGCAAGGCUGAAACUUAAAGGAAUUGACGGAAGGGCACCACCAGGAGUGGAGCUUGCGGCUCAAUUUGACUCAACACGGGAAAUCUUACCAGGUCCAGACAUAGCGAGGAUUGACAGAUUGAUAGCUCUUUCUUGAUUCUAUGGGUAUUUUGUGGUGCAUGG